UACGAAGGGGGCUAGCGUUGCUCGGAAUUACUGGGCGUAAAGGGCGCGUAGGCGGCUCAUACAGUCAGGCGUGAAAUUCCUGGGCUCAACCUGGGGGCUGCGCUUGAGACGUGUGGGCUUGAGGACAGGAGAGGCUCGUGGAAUUCCCAGUGUAGAGGUGAAAUUCGUAGAUAUUGGGAAGAACACCGGUGGCGAAGGCGGCGAGCUGGCCUGUAACUGACGCUGAGGCGCGACAGCGUGGGGAGCAAACAGG
rnacentral:rRNA from 1 species